UUACUGACUGGUUUGCCCUUCUUCGCAAAGACUGCGUGUGCUCUUGAGUGAGUGUGCGUAGGAUUUACGACGUUUACUUUGAGAAAAUUAGAGUGUUCAAAGCAGGCUAUUGCUUGAAUACAUGAGCAUGGAAUAAUGGAAUAGGACUUUGGUCCCAUUCUGUUGGUUUCUAGGGCCGAAGUAAUGAUUAAGAGGGACAAUUGGGGGCAUCCGUAUUUCGU
rnacentral:rRNA from 1 species